UGCUUGCACUUGGAUGGACUGAGUGGCGGACGGGUGAGUAACGCGUGGGUAACCUGCCUUAUACAGGGGGAUAACAGUUGGAAACGACUGCUAAUACCGCAUAAGCGCACGGUAUCGCAUGAUACAGUGUGAAAAACUCCGGUGGUAUAAGAUGGACCCGCGUCUGAUUAGCCAGUUGGUGGGGUGAUGGCCUACCAAAGCGACGAUCAGUAGCCGACCUGAGAGGGUGACCGGCCACAUUGGGACUGAGAUACGGCCCAGACUCC
rnacentral:rRNA from 1 species